rnacentral:rRNA from 1 species
UGCGUAGGGGGCAAGCGUUGUCCGGAUUCAUUGGGCGUAAAGAGCGUGUAGGCGGCCAGACAGGUCCGCUGUGAAAACUCGAGGCUCAACCUCGAGAUGUCGGUGGAAACCGUCUGGCUAGAGUCCGGAAGAGGAGAGUGGAAUUCCCGGUGUAGCGGUGAAAUGCGCAGAUAUCGGGAAGAACACCCGUGGCGAAGGCGGCUCUCUGGGACGGUACUGA